rnacentral:rRNA from 1 species
AGCAGUCGCCGCGGUAAAACGGAGGGUGCAAGCGUUAAUCGGAAUUACUGGGCGUAAAGCGUGCGUAGGCGGUUCGUUAAGUCUGUUGUGAAAGCCCCGGGCUCAACCUGGGAAUGGCAAUGGAUACUGGCGAGCUAGAGUGUGUCAGAGGAUGGUGGAAUUCCCGGUGUAGCGGUGAAAUGCGUAGAUAUCGGAAGGAACACCUGUGGCGAAAGCGGCUCACUGGACCAUAACUGACGCUGAUGCACGAAAGCUAGGGGAGCAAACAGGAUUAGAGACCCGCGUAGUCCCUGUCUCUUAUAU